rnacentral:rRNA from 1 species
GGUGCUUGCAUCAUGAUUUACAUUUGAGUGAGUGGCGAACUGGUGAGUAACACGUGGGAAACCUGCCCAGAAGCGGGGGAUAACACCUGGAAACAGAUGCUAAUACCGCAUAACAACUUGGACCGCAUGGUCCGAGUUUGAAAGAUGGCUUCGGCUAUCACUUUUGGAUGGUCCCGCGGCGUAUUAGCUAGAUGGUGGGGUAACGGCUCACCAUGGCAAUGAUACGUAGCCAACCUGAGAGGGUAAUCGGCCACAUUGGGACUGAGACACGGCCCAAACUCCUACGGGAGGCAGCAGUAGGGAAUCUUCCACAAUGGACGAAAGUCUGAUGGAGCAACGCCGCGUGAGUGAAGAAGGGUUUCGGCUCGUAAAACUCUGUUGUUAAAGAAGAACAUAUCUAAGAGUAACUGUUCAGGUAUUGACGGUAUUUAACCAGAAAGCCACGGCUAACUACGUGCCAGCAGCCGCGGUAAUACGUAGGUGGCAAGCGUUGUCCGGAUUUAUUGGGCGUAAAGCGAGCGCAGGCGGUUUUUUAAGUCUGAUGUGAAAGCCUUCGGCUCAACCGAAGAAGUGCAUCGGAAACUGGGAAACUUGAGUGCAGAAGAGGACAGUGGAACUCCAUGUGUAGCGGUGAAAUGCGUAGAUAUAUGGAAGAACACCAGUGGCGAAGGCGGCUGUCUGGUCUGUAACUGACGCUAAGGCUCGAAAGUAUGGGUAGCAAACAGGAUUAGAUACCCUGGUAGUCCAUACCGUAAACGAUGAAUGCUAAGUGUUGGAGGGUUUCCGCCCUUCAGUGCUGCAGCUAACGCAUUAAGCAUUCCGCCUGGGGAGUACGGCCGCAAGGCUGAAA